AUUGAACGCUGGCGGCAGGCCUAACACAUGCAAGUCGAGCGGAGCGGCGGACGGGUGAGUAAUGCCUAGGAAUCUGCCUGGUAGUGGGGGAUAACGUCCGGAAACGGGCGCUAAUACCGCAUACUAUCAGAUGAGCCUAUAUCGGAUUAGCUAGUUGGUGGGGUAAAGGCCUACCAAGGCGACGAUCCGUAACUGGUCUGAGAGUAUGAUCAGUCACACUGGAACUGAGACACGGUCCAGAAUCCUACGGUAGGCAGCAGUGGUGAAUAUUGGACAAUGGGCGAAAGCCUGAUGCAGCCAUGCCGAGUGUGUGAAGAAGGUCUUCGGAUGGUAAAGUACUUUCAGCGAGGAGGCGUUACUCGCAGAAGAAGCACCGGCUAAGUCCGUGCCAGCCGCCGCGGUAAUAC
rnacentral:rRNA from 1 species